GAUGAACGCUGGCGGCGUGCCUAAUACAUGCAAGUCGAGCGAACGGACGAGAAGCUUGCUUCUCUGAUGUUAGCGGCGGACGAGUGAGUAACACGUGGAUAACCUACCUAUAAGACUGGGAUAACUUCGGGAAACCGGAGCUAAUACCGGAUAAUAUUUUGAACCGCAUGGUUCAAAAGUGAAAGACGGUCUUGCUGUCACUUAUAGAUGGAUCCGCGCUGCAUUAGCUAGUUGGUAAGGUAACGGCUUACCAAGGCAACGAUGCAUAGCCGACCUGAGAGGGUGAUCGGCCACACUGGAACUGAGACACGGUCCAGACUCCUGCGGGAGGCAGCAGUAGGGAAUCUUCCGCAAUGGGCGAAAGCCUGACGGAGCAACGCCGCGUGAGUGAUGAAGGUCUUCGGAUCGUAAAACUCUGUUAUUAGGGAAGAACAUAUGUGUAAGUAACUGUGCACAUCUUGACGGUACCUAAUCAGAAAGCCACGGCUAACUACGUG
rnacentral:rRNA from 1 species